AUUGAACGCUGGUGGCAGGCCUAACACAUGCAAGUCGAGCGAGCGGCGGACGGGUGAGGAAUGUCUGGGAAAAUGCCUGAUGGAGGGGGAUAACAACUGGAAAAGGUAGCUAAUACCGGAUACCAUCAGAUGGGCCCAGAUGGGAUUAGCUAGUAGGUGGGGUAAUGGAGCACCUAGGCGACGAUCCCUAGCUGGUCUGAGAGGAUGACCAGCCACACUUGAACUGGGACACGGUCCAGACUCCUACGGUAGGCAGCAGUGGGGAAUAUUGCACAAUGGGCGCAAGCCUGAUGCAGCCAUGCCGCGUGUGUGAAGCAGGCCUUCGGGUUGUAAAGCACUUUCAGCGGGGAGGCGUUACCCGCAGAAGAAGCACCGGCUAACUCCGUGCCAGCAGCCGCGGUAAUAC
rnacentral:rRNA from 1 species